rnacentral:rRNA from 1 species
UUGCCGGCGACCGGCGGACGGGUGCGUAACGCGUAUGUAACCUACCUUUGACAGGGGGAUAACAUCGAGAAAUUGGUACUAAUACCCCAUAACAUCACCGGAGGCAUCUUCGGUGGUUGAAAACUCAGGUGGUCAGAGAUGGACAUGCGUUGUAUUAGCUAGUUGGUGAGGUAACGGCUCACCAAGGCGACGAUACAUAGGGGGACGUGAGAGGUCAACCCCCCACCAUUGGUACUGAGACACGGACCAAACUCCUACGGAAGGCAGCAG